rnacentral:lncRNA from 1 species
AUGGACAACUUUUUUUGCCACAGAAAUUAGUACACAAGUAAGUAACUAACUGUUUUCUAAGAUUUUGAACGCUUUGCAAACAAGAGCAAUCAACUUUGACCAGAAACAAUGAAAGCAUGAAAAAAAGACUUUUGAGUAAAGCGAGCUUGGUCUGAUGUCCUUGAAGGCAUCACUAGUCCCUGCUUUAGAAUCAUGCACAACCACGUUUGCACCUGAUACCUGUUAGUUUUGGUUUAGAAAGUAUAUUCAAAUGAAUCCUUUCAAAACUACUUUUUUUUG